rnacentral:RNase_P_RNA from 1 species
AAUGCCGAGAGGAAAGUCCGGGCAGCACGAGCCACCAUGCUUCCUAACGGGAAGGCAUCCUUAUGGGUGACAGCGAGCGCCACAGAAAAGAAACCGCUAGUAGGAGUGACUGAGUGUCUGAGUCACUAAGUGGCUGAGAAAAAAACUUAGACACUCAGCAACUUGUUUACCCAGUCACUCCUGGUAGCAAGGGUGAAAACGCGGGGUAAGAGCCCACGACGUGUCCCGGUGACGGGCGCGAUGGCAAGCCUCAUGGGCUGAAAGACCAAAUAAACCGGCAUUCUCGGGCAGGCUCGCCCGAUUGCCUUCGGGCAGGUGCCGGCGGGUAGGUUGAUGGAGACCGUCGGUGACGGCGGCCCUAGAUUGAUGAUAGAACACGACAGAACCCGGCUUAUGGGCCCC